rnacentral:rRNA from 1 species
UUGGAGGGCAAGUCUGGUGCCAGCAGCCGCGGUAAUUCCAGCUCCAAUAGCGUAUAUUAAAGUUGUUGCAGUUAAAAAGCUCGUAGUUGAAUUUCGGGAUCAGUAGGUUGGUCAUGCCUAUGGUAUGCACUGGCUUUACUGGUUCCUCCUUCUUGAUGAUCUGUAAUGUCAUUAAUUUGGUGUUGCAGGGAGUCAGGACUGUUACUUUGAAAAAAUUAGAGUGUUUAAAGCAGGCAUACGCUUGAAUACAUUAGCAUGGAAUAAUGAAAUAGGACGUUCGAUCCUAUUUUGUUGGUUUCUAGGAUUGACGUAAUGAUUAAUAGGGAUAGUUGGGGGCAUUAGUAUUCAAUUGUCAGAGGUGAAAUUCUUGGAUUUAUUGAAGACUAACUACUGCGAAAGCAUUUGCCAAGGAUGUUUUCAUUAAUCAAGAACGAAAGUUAGGGGAUCGAAGACGAUCAGAUACCGUCGUAGUCUUAACCAUAAACUAUGCCGACUAGGGAUCGGAUGAUGUUAUUUUUAAUGACUCAUUCGGCGCCUUACGGGAAAC